GAUGAAGAACGUAGUGAAAUGCGAUAAGUAAUGUGAAUUGCAGAAUUCAGUGAAUCAUCGAAUCUUUGAACGCACAUUGCGCCCGCCAGUAUUCUGGCGGGCAUGCCUGUUCGAGCGUCAUUUCAACCAUCAAGCCCCCGGCUUGUGUUGGGGACCUGCGGCUGCCGCAGGCCCUGAAAACCAGUGGCGGGCUCGCUAGUCACUCCGAGCGUAGUAAUACAUCUCGCUCAGGGCGUGCUGCGGGUUCCGGCCGUUAAAAGCCUUAUUUUACCCAAGGUUGACCUCGGAUCAGGUAGGAAGACCCGCUGAACUUAAGCAUAUCAAUAAGCGGAGGA
rnacentral:misc_RNA from 1 species